rnacentral:rRNA from 1 species
AAUUAAAUUAUUAUAUAGUCUAAUAAAUUAUUAAAACAAUUAGUUAUUCAAAACAUUUUUAAAUUUAGUAAAAGUGAUAGAAAAUUAUUAAAUAAGAUCUAAGAAAAGUACCGUAAGGGAAUUAAUUUAAUUAGAAAAUAGAAAAAUUUAAUAUUUGUACCUUUUGCAUCAUGGUUUAGCUAGAUAUAUAUUUUUUCUUAAAUUUCUCGAAAUCUAAUGAGUUAUUUUUAUUCAGUAUAUUAGUACAAAAGAGUAGUUGUGGCAAAAACUUUCUUAGAAAUAAAGAUGGAAAUGAAAUUUUAUUCGUAUUAGAUGAUAGCUAGUUUUUCUAUAAAAACAUAUAAGUGUUUUAAAUUAAUUUAAUUUUUAUAAAUUAUCAUAUAAAAAGAAUUUAAUUUAGUUAGAUUUUCGAGGAUAAGCUCGAAAAUUAGAGAUAAUAUUUGCAUUAUAUUUUUGUUAGAAUUUAGGCCUGAAAAUAGUCAUAAUUUUGAGUUUGUUAUAAUUUAUUAAUAAAUUAAAAAAAUAAUUGAUUUGCUUAUAAUUAUAGGAAAGAAUUUAACAAUUGAAAUUAAAUUGCAUUAAUGCUAAAAUGAGUAUUGAAAUAUUUUAUAUCUUUUUAACAACUUAUAUUAGUUAAGAUUAAUAUUUAUCUUUAAUAUUAAAAUUAUAAAAAGGAACUCGGCAAAUACUCAUUCUGCCUGUUUAGCAAAAACAUGGCUCCCUGAGGUUCUAAUAAUAGGGAGUCGGACCUGCCCAGUGAAUUUUCAACGGCCGCGGUACUCUGACCGUGCAAAGGUAGCAUAAUCAUUUGCCUUAUAAUUGAAGGCUAGUAUGAAUGGUUUGACAAGAAUGAAGCUGUCUCUUUGUAAUUUUAUAGAAUUUUAUUUCUAGGUGAAGAAGCCUAGAUAGGAUUAAAAGACAAGAAGACCCUAUCGAGCUUAAAAGAAAUCAAUAGAAUUAAUUAAUUAAUAUUCAUAAAAAAUUAUCUAUUAAAUAUUUUAGUUGGGGCGACUGAGGAACAUAAAAAGCUUCCUUUAAUUAAUUGAAAUCAGACUAGAUAUUGAUCCAAAAUAUUUUGAUUAAAGAAAUUAGUUACCGUAGGGAUAACAGCAUUAUCUUUUUUAAGAGCUCAUAUCGAAAAAAAGGUUUGUGACCUCGAUGUUGGACCAGAAUAUCCUAAAGGUGCAGCAGUCUUUAAGGGUUGGUCUGUUCGACCAUUAAAAUUCUACGUGAUCUGAGUUCAGACCGGCGUGAGCCAGGUCAGUUUCUAUCUUUAAUUGUUUUGGUAAAUUUAGUACGAAAGGACCAAUUUAUCAUAUAAAUCAUAUUUCCUAUUGAUUAAAUCUAAUUAAAAAUUAAAUGUAUUAUCAAAUUAGCAAAAAUUAAUGCAAU